UUAUCUUUUAUUUAUGAUUAAGUAAAUUAUUCAUUAUCAAUUUUUAAAAUAAAAUUUUAGAUGAAUAAAUAUCUUUUCAGCUGUGCAAGCCAUAUAGUCCACCUUGACUAUUCAACUCUGCCACUGUAGCACAAAAGCGGCCUUCGACAAGCCCUAAAGGAAUGAGCACGCUUGGGUUCCAAUAAGUCUUUAUGGACACUGAAACGUGAAUUUCAUGUAACUUUCACAGGUCAUGAUAUAUUGCUCUUCCUUUGUUUUUUUUCAACCAUUUAAAUGUGUGAAUAGCAUUCUUAGGUUGUGGGCCAGGCAGAAUCAAGUGGCGGGAUUGGUCUAGACCAUACUUGUCCAACCCAGGGCACGUGGGCUGUGCAUUAGCCCAGGAUGGCUUUGAAUGCAGCCCGAUACGAAUUUGUAAACUUUUUUAGGGCAUUGUGAUUUUCUUUCUUUCUCUUUUUAGCUCAUCAGCUAUCGUCAGUGUUAGUGUAUCUUAUGUGUGGCCCAAGACAAUUCUUCUUCCAGUGUGGCCCAGGGAAGCCAAAAGAUUUUGGACACCCUUAGCCUAGACCCUAGAUCCAAGAUCAAAACUGAUCCAAUCAAAGAUAGUGAACAUUACUCCCAGGAUGUCUACUGAAAAGUCUGGGAAAGAGUCAUCCUCUCUCUGUCGAAGCUGCUGAGCAGUAAGGAUGUGUUUUGCAAAUUCCAGGGGCUAAGAUGGGAGAGGCCCUGCUUAAGAAUGAAGUCCCCUCCACCACAGCACAGCAGAUCCCAGAGAUAGAGAGACGUGGGGGGUGUGGGGUGUGGCAGAUUCAGCCAUGCCUGUAGCUUAGUAAAUUCUCUUGUGAGUGUGUGUGUCUUUUUUUUUUUUUUUGAGAUGGAGUUUCGCUCUUGUUGCCCAGGCUGGAGCGCAAUGGUGCGAUCUCUGCUCACUGCAACCUCUGCCUCCUGGGUUCAAGUGAUUCUCCUGCCUCAGCCUCUCAAGUAGCUGGGAUUACAGGUGCCUGCCACCAUGCCUGGCUAAUUUUUUUGUACUUUUAUAGAGAUGGGGUUUCACCACGUUGGCCAGGCUGGUCUCGAACUCCUGAUCUCAGGUGAUUCACCUCCCUCGGCCUCCCAAAGUGCUGCGAGUACAGGUGUGAGCCACUAAGCCCAGCCAAUUCCCUUGUUUUUGCUCAUGCUCAUUUGAGUUGGGUUUCUGUCACUCGCAACCCAGAGUCCUGAAUAAUACAGUGAGGAUUUCAGAGGAGGCGUCCAGGCAAGAUAAGCUGGAGGAGGCAAUGAAGGACAAGCAGGGCCCACCCGAGCCUCAGCACAGUCGCUUGUCAUUUCCCUGUCUCGGUUUCCCAUUCAGUGGGCAAAAUGCUCUCUUAGCUCAGAGUCCAGAUAGGGAUGUAUUCAUAUUUUUGUAAAACCUCGGCGGUAGGCUCAAUAUUUCUUGUCAGAUUGAGAGCACUAAUAAGCAGUGCUGUGUAUUAGAUGGAAUAAAUCAAUGCCUUCAUGGUGGUGUGCUGGCCAGGCCGCUGAGAAACUGCUGAACGGAAAGCAACACACAGCACCCACAUCUUCAUUUUAUGUGACAGAGGGAAACUUCGACAUUUUUCUUUAUCAAAGGCAGAACUGACCAAUGCUGUUGGCUGGGCUCUGCCAGGUCAGGGAAGGGAAGAGUACAGGAAGGGAGGCGUCCCACUUUCUUGGGAGCAGCAGAAGCAGCAGCAGCAGCAGCAGCAGAGGAACUGGGAUUGCCAGGAAUUCUCCAGAACAGUUAGAAGCAGUUCCAUCCUGGGUGGAGGACAACCGAGGGUUUUCUCUGUGAUCCAUCAGGGAUGAGCCUCUGGAUCCAGCUGUACCUGAAGCCAAAUGGGCAUAAGCAAAAACAAGGGAAUGGGCAUGAGCAAAAACAAGAGAAUUGGGCAGGCGUGGUGGCUCACGCCUGUAAUCCCAGCACUUUGGGAGGCCAAGGCAGGUGGCUCACCUGAGGUCAGGAGUUCGAGACCAGCCUGGCCAACAUGGUGAAACCCUGUCUCUACUAAAAGUGGGAGAGAGCGCCUGGGUCAUCAGAUGGGAUGCACAGCAUGAAGAGGUAGAGAAGGGCUGGAGCUGGGGGAACAGGCACAUCCUGACAUUGAUGGGUGAGGUAAGAAUGAGGCUGCAGGGACUGCCUGGUGCUCAGUCCACCUGAACAUGACAGCAUCCACAUUUCUCCCUUGAUAUGGUUUGGCUAUGUCCCCACCCAACUCUCAUGUUGAACUGUAAUCCCCAGUGUUGUGGGAGGGUCCUGGUGGAAGGUGAUUAGAUCAUGGUGGUGGUUUCUAAUGGUUUGGCACCAUCCCCCUGGUGCUGUCUUGAGAUAGAGUUCUCAUGAAAUCUGGUUGUUUAAAAGUGUGUAGCACUCCCCCUUCACUCUCUUUCUCUCUCUCCUGCUCUGCCAUGGGAAGACUGGCUUCCCAUUCGCCUUCCUCAUGAUUGUAAGUUUCCUGAGGCCUCCCAGCCGUGCCUCUUGUACAGCCUGCAGAACUGUGGGUCAAUUAAACCUCCUUUCUCCAUACAUUGCCCAGUCUCAGGUAGUUCUUUACAACAGUGUGAGAAUGGACUAAUACGCCCCUUCUCUCUUGGCUCACUCUGCAGGCUCCUGAGGGCUGGGCACCUGACUCAGGCCUGACAAUUAAAGCACAGCAUCCCUUGUUCUCUGUGAUACAUUCAGGGAUGAACACGUCACCCAAGUUGGGCCAAGGAGAGUUCUCCUAGGACCUUUGCUGGGACUGUCAUUUUUCCCUCUGGCCCAAGGUUUAUAGAACAUAAGUCUGGAGCUUCUCAUGGCCACCUGCUACGGCUCAGGGAAAGCCUGUCUGUGAGUGAAGCCAACACAAAGGAAGAAAGAGUCUAGAAAAAGAGAGACAGAUUCAUGAUGACACGACUUGAGCCCCUGGAUCCAGCUGUGCCUGAAGCCAGCUACCUUUGGCCUUUUUAAUAAUAUGUAGCUAUAACUACUCCCCCAACACCUGUUAUUAUUAAACCAUUUUCCCCACCCUUAACUGUGAUUACUAUAGCCACAAAGAAGAAAGAACUGAUUACUAUAGCCACAAAGAAGGCUCAUGUGUUGACCACUUGCUAGUGGGGGCUAGUGGCUAGUGCUGCUUUUACCUGCUUCCCACUAGCAAAGCCUAGGGCCUGGGACUGCCCCUGAACAGGGCUGGGGCAGACAUGACCUUUGGACGAAGUCUAAACUCAGGUUGGCUCAUAUGGUCCUUCACUAUCCAGUGUCUGCCUGUCUUUCCAGGCUUACCUUCUAUGCUCUGGCCACACUAGCCUCCUCUGAUCUCUGAAAAUUUGUCACGCUUCUUUGACAAUCAAGACCUUCACACACAUCAUUCUGUCUGCCUGUAACAGUCGUCUCUCCUCCAGUCUGCCCCUCUCACAAAUCCACCUCCCUACCCCAAUAAACACAUGCACACAGGACAAGGGACAAGCUGGCAAACUGUUACUCUUUUCUUUUUUUCAGAGACAGAGUCUUGCUCUGUCACCCAGGCUGGAGUACAGCGGCACAAUCAUAGCUCACUGCAGCCUUGAACCCCUGAGCUCAAGAGAUCCUCCUGCCUCAGCCUCCCGAGUAGCUGGGAUUAUAGGCAUGUGCCAUCACAACCAGCUGUUACUCAUUUCUUCUCUUGGCUUAGCUGUCACUUUCCCGAGAAAGUUCCUGUGUUGUCCUCCAUCUCUGUUACAUGUUCCUAAAUAAUUCUGCACUUCUUUUCUUAUCCUAGCACAAUUUCUCAUAUCCACUAGAUACUGAUUAAAUAUGUGUUGAGGGAAUCAAUGAACAAGGAACCAUAAAGUCAUCCAUAGCUCUGUUAUUCAUGCCUAUCAUGGCUCAAAGGGACUUGGGGCAUGGUCUUCUCGUGAGUCAGUCACGACACUAUUAGCUGUCUACUCAAUUUCCAGGCUCUCCUUUCCUGCUAACAGAGCCCCUGCUUGUUCAGAGUAACAGUAUACUCAGCCCCAGGUGAAGGAUCAUGAACUAAUGGCUUAAGCCACCCAGGAUAUCCUGUUCCUCGCUUUCUCAGCCUCUCUUGUAGCAAGGGUGGCCAUGUGACCCUGUUCUGGCCAGUGAGACUUAAGUAGAAGUCUCUCGGGAGAUCUCCUGAUUAAAGCAGUACAAAUGUUGCUCUCGCUAUCUCUUCUGCCUUCUUCCUGCCUGAAAUGGGAAUGUGGAGCUUGGAGCAUCUGCAGCCAUCUUGUGACCAUGAAGUAACAAACCACCAACCUCUGGAUGCCAACUUGGAAAGAUGGAAAGAGACUGGGUUCCUGAUGAUGCUUUUGGACUGUUGUACCCGUCCAGUGCUACCAACCACAGCAUUUUUUUAUUUAGUGGGGGAAAAAAACAUAGUUUAAGCAACUUUUAGUCAAGGUUUCUGUAACCUUCAGCUAAAAGCAUUUAUAAUGGAUGUAGUUUCUUCCUUUCUUGGGGGGACUAUGGACUGCUACCGCAACUUAAAAUUGCCAACGUGGCUGCCCCAGGGUUCAGGAAUCUCUCCUCUUGGUUCUGGGACUCCGUUGAGCAGAGAAUCAAUCCCAGAGCUCAUGCACCCUCCUCUUAGGCCAGGAAGGAUCUAAUUAUCCAGUGAUUGUAGCGAUUAUUUCAUCCAAUUGAUCGAUAAUAGCUGUAAUUUUUAAACACGGUUUUCCAUUAAUAAUUUGCAACAUAUUUAUUGUUUAUACUCAAAUAAAAUAGGACGAAAAUAAAACAAUUGAGAUGCAAUCUCCAGAGUCCUGAAUAUUUACACAGUGCAGUGAUACAUGUUUUAGCCGAGAUAUUUUAUGUUGUUUUCUCCUUUUUAAAAGAGAAGAUGUUUAUUAAUAUAAAUGAUCACAAUGAUCACAAUUCAGAAAGUUCCCUGAACUGUGACUAUGUUGCCAGGGAUGGCAUAGAGCAUUUGUCGAUUGAUUGUGUAUGCCAAGGGAUGGCAUAGAGAAUUCGGUGAUUGAUUGUGUAUGUCUGCCACAGGCAGGGGAGGGCUGAGUUAUGCCCUGUGUGCUAGUAUUUGUCAUCUCUGGCUUAAGCAUUGGACCUCUGUUUCCAGCAAUGUUAUUUAACUUUAGUCGUCUUCCCAAGAUGACAGGAAGGGCCACAGCCAACUUUUAUGCAAAUGGAGAAGGAAUAAAAGAAACCCCAGUCUAUUUCUAGGGUUUCCUAUGACAACAUGUGAAACCCCAAGUUAGGGGCUCCUGUUCCACCUUAGCCAGGGGAUCCUUGAGUGGAGAGUUUCUCAAUCCCAUAGACAUGCCCACUCAUUACUGGUUCCCAAACUUUGAAGGUAAGACAGCUGCUUUAUUAAAAAAUUGAAGCUUGCUGGCAGAAAGGCCCUUGUGAACAUUCUCCAAAGGGCCAGUGGCGGCUGCUUACCAGCCUCUGGGGCCUGCUUCGAGGGCUCCUCUCUGGGACCCACUCCCUCUUUCCCAACAACCCUCCUCUUGAACCCAGCUCAGCCCUAAGCAAUUUUACUGUCUGUCAGCCUAGUGUGCAGGGGGAGGCAAAUAAAAUCCCUGCCCCUAAUGGAAAAGCAAACGUCGCAUGUUCUCACUCAUAAGUGGAGGCUAAGCUACGAGGACGCAAAGGCCUAAGAAUGAUAUGAUGGACUUUGGGGACUCAGGGCAAAGGGUGGGAAGCAGGUGAGGGAUAAAAGGCUACACGUUGGGUUCAGUGUACACUGCUCGGGUGAUGGGUGCACCAAAAUCUCACAAAUCACCACUAAAGAACGUACUCAUGCAACCAAAUGCCACCUGUACCCCAAACACUUACGGAAAGUUUAAAAAACCAAAACACAAAAAAACAAAAUCCCUGCCCCCAGAAUGCUCAGAGUCAGCCUUGAGUUUUUUCAAGUCAAUCACUACUGGGUUGGGUCCCUGCAUGACAGAAAGUUACCUUAGCCAAUGGAUGCCUCAGGACUGGGCCCAUCCCUCUCUUUUCCCAGGUGAGGGGAAAGAGGAAAGGCAUCCAACAUCCACAGAACUGCCUGAUGUGCGCAGCCUCCCGCACAUCAUCUGAUUCCGCCCUCACGGCAGCUCCAAUAGGUGGGGAUUGAUUCCAAGAGCACAAACACAGACACUGGGACUCGGAGAGCUUGGCUAACCCCACAUCACACAGCCGCCGAGCCAGGAUCUGAACCCCAUUUGGUCUGACCCCAAGUCUUCAUUCUUUUCGCUGCACCAACUUGUUGUCCAUGAAAAUCUGAGUGGGUGAGAAGAGCAAAGGCGGCCUGAAUUCUUUUAAGCCCAGAUUCCCAGCCAGGCUUACCAAUGGGAAACAGGAAAUUCCAGGUUCAUCCUUCAGCAGGUGCAUGUUGGGCAUGUGGGGAUACCAGGUUCUGUAAAAACCGAGAUGAAAAAAAAUCCAGCCGCUACUGGAGAGGAACUUAACAGUCUCAGUGGGGGCAUGCAUGUGAAACCGACAGAACCACUGACAUGGGAGGGAAACGGCCAGCGCGGGACCGAGGCUGAGAAGGCACAGAGGAGGGAGGCGACACCCAUGGGGAACGGGCCAUCAGCCGCCCCCAGGAGCAGCAAGGCCGCUCUGUAGAAUUUUCCAGAAAUUGCAACCUGGCUCUCAGGAGGUCUCAGAGUGUUGAGGAGGGUGGCUCAGGCUUGAGUGCAAUUGCAGAAGCAGGCAAUGACUCAUCCUGUGUUUAUCAGAAACUCUACAACACAAAAAUCCACUAAAAUAAAUCCAUAUGGCCAACGCCAGAGCGCCUGACAAUGAGACAGAUUCUUGCCUUUUACGAACAUCCGCAGACAAUUAGCACACCCUCCUGGUCACAUGCUGGGAAAUUUUCCCUUCUUUCCCUUUAUUCCUGCUUUUGCAAUCUGGGAGGAACAACAAAAGGAGUCUCUCUGUGCCUCUGUCCCUCAGAUGGGGGUGCACGGGCUUCCACCAGCAAAACAUUUCCAUGUGGCUCUCGAUGGGCAGGGGACUCAGCGGCCAGCAUGGACCUGCUUUUCUAAAACUUGGGUCUGAGUCCAGGUCCAGCCCCUUCUUUGCUAUGUGGACUUUGAGGAGCAAUUGAAUCUCUGUGUCUUGUUACCAUUCAGCCAGCUGUCCACCAAUUCAGAGCGUGUUCACUGAGCACCUGCUACGUGCUGGCCUUGGGUUAAGUGCUGGAGAUAUCAAUGUGCCCUCCUGGAGCGUGUGGACCAGAGAGACAGAAUUAAACCACUAACAACAAAUAAGAGUGAGGGCUGUGGUCUCAGAGGCCUUGCAGUGGACACAUGGACAGAAAGUCCAGUCCUGGGGAGUCAAUGACACGCAAGAUAAAUCUCUGAGCAGCAAGGACAGUCAAGAUGCAAGCGUCGCUCCUUGGACUCUGAAACCUGUGUCAUUUCCUCCCUGCUUUGCAGUGCUGCCCACACAACAGCUGUUGGGUGCCGGGAAUUAGGAAUCCGGAUUCAGAGCCUGCCCAUGUGUGGCCGAGGCGACGGGCCUUCCCAGGUGUGGUGCCACAUGCCCAGAAGGC